UACAGAGGGUGCAAGCGUUAAUCGGAAUUACUGGGCGUAAAGCGUGCGUAGACGGUUACGUAAGUCGGGUGUGAAAGCCCAGGGCUCAACCUUGGAAUUGCCUUUGAUACUGGCUGUCUUGAGUUCGGGAGAGGUGAGUGGAAUGCCGAGUGUAGAGGUGAAAUUCGUAGAUAUUCGGAGGAACACCAGUGGCGAAGGCGGCUCACUGGUCCAUUACUGACGCUGAGGUGCGAAAGCGUGGGGAGCAAACAGG
rnacentral:rRNA from 1 species